rnacentral:tRNA from 1 species
GCCCAGGUGGCGGAAUUGGCAGACGCGCUACUUUGAGGUGGUAGUACCGCAAGGUGUGGAGGUUCGAGUCCUCUCCUGGGCA